rnacentral:rRNA from 1 species
CGUGGAGGAUGAAGGCCUUCGGGUCGUAAACUCCUGUUGAUCGGGAAGACGGGUUCCGGCUCAAUACCCGGAGCAGUGACGGUACCGAUUGAGGAAGCCACGGCUAACUCUGUGCCAGCAGCCGCGGUAAUACAGAGGUGGCAAGAGUUGUUCGGAAUUACUGGGCGCAAAGGGCGCGUAGGCGGCCUUCUUAGUCAGACGUCGAAAUCCCUAGGCUUAACCUAGGAACUGCGUCUGAUACUGGAAGGCUCGAGUUCGGGAGAGGAAUGUGGAAUUCCAGGUGUAGCGGUGAAAUGCGUAGAUAUCUGGAGGAACACCGGUGGCGAAGGCGGCAUUCUGGACCGAAACUGACGCUGAUGCGCGAAAGCCAGGGGAGCAAACGGGAUUAGAUACCCCGGUAGUCCUGGCCCUAAACGAUGAGUGCUUGGUGUGGCGGGUAUCGAUCCCUGCCGUGCCGAAGCUAACGCAUUAAGCACUCCGCCUGGGGAGUACGGUCGCAAGGCUG